UUCCCUGUCAGUCCAACGGUUAAGACUCUGCACUUGCACUGCAGGGGGCCCAGGUUCAAUCCCUGGUUGGGGAA